rnacentral:rRNA from 1 species
CAGGCCUAACACAUGCAAGUCGAGCGGGUAGCAAUACCAGCGGCAAACGGGUGCGUAACGCGUAAGCAACCUGCCCACUACUGGGGGAUAGCCUUGCGAAAGCGGGGGUAAACCCGCAUGGUCCUUUUCUUUCACCUGGGAGGAUAGGUAAACAUUUAUGGGUAGUGGAGGGGCUUGCGUCUGAUUAGCUAGUUGGCGGGGUAAGGGCCCACCAAGGCGACGAUCAGUAGGGGUUCUGAGAGGAUUGGCCCCCACAUGGGUACUGAGACACGGACCCAACUCCUACGGGAGGCAGCAGUAGGGAAUAUUGGGCAAUGGAGGCAACUCUGACCCAGCCAUGCCGCGUGCAGGAUGAAGGCGCUCAGCGUUGUAAACUGCUUUUAACUGGGAAGAACGGCAUUUUUGCGAAGAUGUGUGACGGUACCAGUGGAAUAAGCACCGGCUAACUCCGUGCCAGCAGCCGCGGUAAU